AUUUUAAUUUCAUCAUAAUUACCUUAAUUUAAUUAUCAAAAAGGAGUUAUGAUAUAGU
rnacentral:sRNA from 1 species